AAGCGUACACGGUGGAUGCCCUGGCAGUCAGAGGCGAUGAAGGGCGUGCUAAUCUGCGAUAAGCGCCGGUAAGGUGAUAUGAACCGUUAUAACCGGCGAUACCCGAAUGGGGAAACCCAGUGUGAUUCGUCACACUAUCAUUAACUGAAUCCAUAGGUUAAUGAGGCGAACCGGGGGAACUGAAACAUCUAAGUACCCCGAGGAAAAGAAAUCAACCGAGAUUCCCCCAGUAGCGGCGAGCGAACGGGGAGGAGCCCAGAGCCUGAAUCAGCAUGUGUGUUAGUGGAAGCGUCUGGAAAGGCGCGCGAUACAGGGUGACAGCCCCGUACACAAAAGCGCAUGUGUUGUGAGCUCGAUGAGUAGGGCGGGACACGUGGUAUCCUGUCUGAAUAUGGGGGGACCAUCCUCCAAGGCUAAAUACUCCUGACUGACCGAUAGUGAACCAGUACCGUGAGGGAAAGGCGAAAAGAACCCCGGCGAGGGGAGUGAAAAAGAACCUGAAACCGUGUACGUACAAGCAGUGGGAGCACCCUUUUGGGUGUGACUGCGUACCUUUUGUAUAAUGGGUCAGCGACUUAUAUUCUGUAGCAAGGUUAACCGAAUAGGGGAGCCGGAGGGAAACCGAGUCUUAAUUGGGCGUUAAGUUGCAGGGUAUAGACCCGAAACCCGGUGAUCUAGCCAUGGGCAGGUUGAAGGUUGGGUAACACUAACUGGAGGACCGAACCGACUAAUGUUGAAAAAUUAGCGGAUGACCUGUGGCUGGGGGUGAAAGGCCAAUCAAACCGGGAGAUAGCUGGUUCUCCCCGAAAGCUAUUUAGGUAGCGCCUCGUGAACUCAUCUCCGGGGGUAGAGCACUGUUUCGGCUAGGGGGCCAUCCCGGCUUACCAACCCGAUGCAAACUGCGAAUACCGGAGAAUGUUAUCACGGGAGACACACGGCGGGUGCUAACGUCCGUCGUGAAGAGGGAAACAACCCAGACCGCCAGCUAAGGUCCCAAAGUCAUGGUUAAGUGGGAAACGAUGUGGGAAGGCCCAGACAGCCAGGAUGUUGGCUUAGAAGCAGCCAUCAUUUAAAGAAAGCGUAAUAGCUCACUGGUCGAGUCGGCCUGCGCGGAAGAUGUAACGGGGCUAAACCAUGCACCGAAGCUGCGGCAGCGACGCUCAGGCGUUGUUGGGUAGGGGAGCGUUCUGUAAGCCUGUGAAGGUGGCCUGUGAGGGUUGCUGGAGGUAUCAGAAGUGCGAAUGCUGACAUAAGUAACGAUAAAGCGGGUGAAAAGCCCGCUCGCCGGAAGACCAAGGGUUCCUGUCCAACGUUAAUCGGGGCAGGGUGAGUCGACCCCUAAGGCGAGGCCGAAAGGCGUAGUCGAUGGGAAACGGGUUAAUAUUCCCGUACUUGGUGUUACUGCGAAGGGGGGACGGAGAAGGCUAUGUUGGCCGGGCGACGGUUGUCCCGGUUUAAGCGUGUAGGUGUGUGUUCCAGGUAAAUCCGGUUCACUUUAACACUGAGGCGUGACGACGAGGCACUACGGUGCUGAAGCAACAAAUGCCCUGCUUCCAGGAAAAGCCUCUAAGCAUCAGGUAACAUCAAAUCGUACCCCAAACCGACACAGGUGGUCAGGUAGAGAAUACCAAGGCGCUUGAGAGAACUCGGGUGAAGGAACUAGGCAAAAUGGUGCCGUAACUUCGGGAGAAGGCACGCUGACACGUAGGUGAAGUGAUUUACUCAUGGAGCUGAAGUCAGUCGAAGAUACCAGCUGGCUGCAACUGUUUAUUAAAAACACAGCACUGUGCAAACACGAAAGUGGACGUAUACGGUGUGACGCCUGCCCGGUGCCGGAAGGUUAAUUGAUGGGGUCAGCGCAAGCGAAGCUCCUGAUCGAAGCCCCGGUAAACGGCGGCCGUAACUAUAACGGUCCUAAGGUAGCGAAAUUCCUUGUCGGGUAAGUUCCGACCUGCACGAAUGGCGUAAUGAUGGCCAGGCUGUCUCCACCCGAGACUCAGUGAAAUUGAACUCGCUGUGAAGAUGCAGUGUACCCGCGGCAAGACGGAAAGACCCCGUGAACCUUUACUAUAGCUUGACACUGAACAUUGAGCCUUGAUGUGUAGGAUAGGUGGGAGGCUUUGAAGCGUGGACGCCAGUCUGCGUGGAGCCGACCUUGAAAUACCACCCUUUAAUGUUUGAUGUUCUAACGUGGACCCGUUACCCGGGUUGCGGACAGUGUCUGGUGGGUAGUUUGACUGGGGCGGUCUCCUCCUAAAGAGUAACGGAGGAGCACGAAGGUUGGCUAAUCCUGGUCGGACAUCAGGAGGUUAGUGCAAUGGCAUAAGCCAGCUUGACUGCGAGCGUGACGGCGCGAGCAGGUGCGAAAGCAGGUCAUAGUGAUCCGGUGGUUCUGAAUGGAAGGGCCAUCGCUCAACGGAUAAAAGGUACUCCGGGGAUAACAGGCUGAUACCGCCCAAGAGUUCAUAUCGACGGCGGUGUUUGGCACCUCGAUGUCGGCUCAUCACAUCCUGGGGCUGAAGUAGGUCCCAAGGGUAUGGCUGUUCGCCAUUUAAAGUGGUACGCGAGCUGGGUUUAGAACGUCGUGAGACAGUUCGGUCCCUAUCUGCCGUGGGCGCUGGAGAACUGAGGGGGGCUGCUCCUAGUACGAGAGGACCGGAGUGGACGCAUCACUGGUGUUCGGGUUGUCAUGCCAAUGGCACUGCCCGGUAGCUAAAUGCGGAAGAGAUAAGUGCUGAAAGCAUCUAAGCACGAAACUUGCCCCGAGAUGAGUUCUCCCUGAGACUUAGAGUCUCCUGAAGGAACGUUGAAGACGACGACGUUGAUAGGCCGGGUGUGUAAGCGCAGCGAUGCGUUGAGCUA
rnacentral:rRNA from 1 species